CGUACCCCACAUAGAUGUUAUCUGAGACAGUUUUCAUAGAAAAAGCAUGCAAAGUAUUAGGUCUCUGCUAGAGCCAGAGAGGCAACACAGACCCAGAUGAGAUUCAGGGCCAAAUGCUUUGCAGUGGGGAUGUGGCCAGUCUACUUGGGAGAUGCCUAGCUUAAGCCCUCUUGAAGCAAUGAAGGUGCUGAUCAGUCCUUCAGAAUUCAGCUGUGCCUUGGCUGUGACACUUUUGCUUAGCAGUAUAGCCACAGUUGCUAGCAUGGGCACAACAAUGUGCUAAGACGUUUGAAUGCCUUUUAAACUGGAGUUGCUUCAGAUCUGUCCAGAAGAGAAGAUGAACAGAGGAAUUCAUAGCUAAAGAAAUCUGGGGAUGAAUAUGGAUUGCAGACUGCUGUGCUAUAUUGGCAGAGAAUAAUCAUGGAGGCUCCUUAAAUCAGAAUUCUAUGCAGCGUGAUACAUACAAAUAUUUUGGAGAUAAACGAUGAUGCAGAUAUACUUCUCCUGGGAUCCAAGCCAGCUCUGCACAGUGCUGCACUGUAUGGUAUAACACCUAAACAUCCCACUCGAGGUCUGUUAGAUGUGGGGUACACAGAAAUAUUCUUUCUCAUCAGGGUGUGCCAAGUACCUGGUAAGGGGAAUGUGGAGGAAAACUGAAAAAAGUGAGGAGCAGACAUGAGGUGACAAGAAUGCAGUUGUCUGUGCACAUCUGGAAUAGGUUCAGUUUCACCCCAGAUUUUUCACUGCUUUGUUGUUGUCCACAAUUGUCUUAAUUGCUUUGCAGGACAAACAAAAUAGAAUCCAGCUCCUGAAGAGCAUCAUAAUCUCAGAAUAGAUGAAAAAGCAUUAAAAGAUGGGAGAAAGAUAUACAACAUACCAGCAAAUCCACAGAGGUGACACAAAGCUGGUUCUGACUAUGAUACUGUGAAUUUUUUGUUUUCAGUAAGACUGUAUUCUCUUACAGCAUUUUCCAUUUAACAAUAUUAACAUACCUUUUCAUUGUAAAAGAACUGAGUUUAGGAUCAUCUGAAUACUUCUCCCAACUUGAAAAACUGAUUACCGAUGAGGCAGUUCUUUAAGGUGACACAGAAAAUCCAUGACAGAUUGGUAAUAAUCCUAGGACAAAGGUAUUCCCCAUCUCCUUCCUAUGCUCUCUUCCUGUCAGUGAGAAUAAACCAUGAUAUCUACGUAUAUUUCCAAUACCUCUAAGUAACACCUCAAACUUUUUUUAAAGAAAAAACAAUAAAAACAAGAAAAUAAUGAUAUAUUUGUGCAUACAAAGUCUCAUAUAGCCCACAAAAACAUCCAUGCAGGUAAAUACAACCUACUUGAAAGUUCACUCUCCUACCAGCAUGCACUACUUGAGGGCUCUUCCUUGAGAAUGGAUAAUAACAAAUCCUCCCAAAAAUCACAUCGUGCAUACAUAUAUUAAAACUAUUCAACUAUGAGCAGAAAAAAGCACUGACUACACUGGACAAGGAAGUGCACAACAAGUAUUAAUUAACAAGGAGAGGAUCCAUUAUGUGUCUGCUCAUUGCUGGGUGCAAUACUACAAACAUAGACGCAGAAAGGAGGUCUUGCUGUCUCAGAGACCUGAGAUGACUCUCUCACAGCCAGAGAACGUAUCUUUCAUGCUUGAUGUUUUCCAGCUGGUGCAAAUAUUGUACAAAGUAAUGUAUUUUUUGAGCCAGGGUGUUUUUUGUUUUUGUUAUGUGGAGCACAUGCAGCAUUGCAGGCGGAGUCUCUGCAGUGCUCUGUUGUUGCUACAGUGUGGAGCUUCACGCUGUGUGCUUGGUCUCUGUAAUUCUUCCCUUACACUCCAUUUCUGGUUAAUAAAUGAAGCACAAUGUUGUUUCCAUUUUGUGCUGGGUGUGCCGCCUGCCUCUUUCUGUACUAAUCACAGAAGCGGUAGGGA